UAAUGUUUUAUUAUAUUUUAAAAUACUUUUAAUAUAUUUCAUUUUUUAAGAACAAAAUAAAAAAUAAUUUAAAUUAAACAAAUUAUAUUAGAUUUUCUUUUUCUUUCCUUUUUCUUGUGUUCUUCUUCCAUUCUGCUUCUUCCUCUUCUCUAUCAAAGCCGGUGAGCCCAAAGCCCAUGUCCGGCGAGCCCUGCCUCUUGGUUUGUCAAGCCACGCACUCAGCUAGUCCAUCGAGCCUUGCACCCAGCUGGUUCAUUGAGCCUCGCACCCUGGUUCAUUGACCUUUUGCAACCCUGUGCCUCGUCCAGAUCUGCCUCCUCCCUGCCAAAUCUUCGUCCUUCGGUUGCCACACUUCGCGACCUCUUUUGGAUGCCCCAGUUCGACUCACAAGCAGAUUUUGGUUGAGGCUAGGUUUCUAGAACUGAUUUUAUUUAUGAUUAGUUUGCCUUUGGAUUCUAAGUUUUUAUUUGGGUGUUACAUUUUUAAUUUGAAUAAUCAUUUGAGAUGUUGAAAAUUGAAUUGAGAUUUGAAUGAGUUUGUUGCUCGCUGGCUUUGGGGAACAUUUGAGAUGUUGAAGAAGAAGAGGCUUAGUUUAUGUUAUAUAA